UACGAGGGGGGCAAGCGUUGUUCGGAAUUAUUGGGCGUAAAGGGCUCGUAGGCGGUUUGUCGCGUCGGGAGUGAAAACUCAGGGCUCAACCCUGAGCGUGCUUCUGAUACGGGCAGACUAGAGGUAUUCAGGGGAGAACGGAAUUCCUGGUGUAGCGGUGGAAUGCGCGGAUAUCAGGAGGAACACCGGUGGCGAAGGCGGUUCUCUGGGCCAUUACUGACGCUGAGGAGCGAAAGCGUGGGGAGCGAACAGG
rnacentral:rRNA from 1 species